UAGUAGAGUAUGAUGGUGCUUAAUUAUAGGGAGCAAAUAAUUUCUCUUAUAUCAUUGCUGGUUCCUAUGUCAGUCCCAGGCUCCCUGGCCUGUCCACUCCCCGUUCUGUCUUUUCUACCCGGUUUUUGAACUGAUUUUUAAGACUGAAAAUACCUUAAGAUCCUCAGCCCCUUCAGGAAGUGAAACCUGGAAUUAUUCCAGUGCCCCGAGCAUCCAUUGCUUACUGAGAUAUGAUGUCUUCUUAUAUCCUUUGCACAUACUCAGUUUGACUAUGAGAUUCUCAUUUUGAAAAACGCUUUUACUCAUCAGGAGUUUUGAAACAUAUGCCAUAAACAUCUUGGGGAAGUAUAUGUAAAGCAUGUAGAAUAUAAAUAUAGAUUUAGAUGGAGUUAGGUUAUAGAAUCAGACAAUUGGUAAGAAUUAGUAAGAAUGUCUAGUCCUUUUCUCCCACUCUUGAAGGUCACACGUAAGUCUUUUAAAUUUAAGAAUAUAAUUUUGAGUAUUUAUUUUUAAAAGUAAAGCAAUUCCACAGUCUUUCCUUGCUAUUAACUAGUCCAUAGAGUUGAUGUGUUUCUUGUAUUAUUCGUUUGUGUGUUUGGGAUCCUCUACGGACCUGAACCCUGUCUUGAGCCUGCUCAAGAGCUCUCCUCGCCUGACCGUCUCUGUCUCCUUGCUGUCCUCCUCCCUUGGAGCUGGGGCCUGGUCUUCUCCACGGCGGAUGGUUGGGGUCCUGCGUCAGCAGGGGCAGAACCAGCAGUCAGGAUGCUUUGAUGCUUCUUCUCAGGCUCACACUCACCGGACUGACUUGUCAGAUACUGAGAACAGGACCGCUGAGAGCUGGGCUCUUUGGCUGUUACAGUUUCAGCUUUUUUGAGGGUCAGCUUUUCAUUUGCAUCUGGUACUAGAACACCCUGGUCACAUACUCAUUACUUCCUGACUGUUCUGCUCCUGGUUCUCUGCCUUCUUAGCUGAGUUACUUAGUGGUUUAUUUUUAUCGAAUUUUAGUAGUAGCUAAUUGUUUUCCGAGUAUUUGAUUUUCUAUCCAGAUCUUCUCGCAGUUUUGAGCUUUCAUUUGACCAAGUAUCUGUUAUUCCACCCAGUUUCCUGUAGCGUGUUUUUUCAUUAUCUGUCUUUCCUUCUAGACUCUCUAUUCCUCGAGUGUUGGGACUGAGUUUGUGGUGUUCCUGACAGUGUCCUCAGCACUUACUGCGGUACCUGACACAUAGCAGGUGAUAGACAGUACACAAAUAUCAGUUGGAUGUAGUCAACAGUGGCACUGAUGAUAAAAAUCUGUUCAAGAAUUUAGAUGUGACAUCUGCAGCAGGUUCAGAUCUCUCAGCUAUAAGACAAACUGGAUACUUCAUAAAGAUUUUCAUCUAUUAUGCACAGAGAGCCAAAAUCCGUUACUGAAAUUGUCUGGGUGAACUGCCUGCUGGGUCCAGUGAUGCACUAGUAGACAAAGAAGUUGAAAAAGAAGGCUGGCCUGUUUGGAUUACUGGCAGAAUGUGACACCAAUACGGCAUCAAGCCUUGCUGUGAUUCCAAGGACUUCAUGACUGAAUAUUUUUUUUUUUUUUUUGAGAGGGGGUGUUUGAAGUAAAUUUGAUCUUUACUUUGGGAAUAUGUAAUAUAUUAUCAUUCCAUAAUGAUAUAUGGUAAUCGCUUUGGUAAUCAAACCUUUAAGAUCCUAUUUAUGGAAAUUAAUAUAGUUAUCACCUUUUAGUAUUGGGUUUUCUUACACUAAGGGAAAUAAUGUAAAGAGAAGUAUCUCUUAGCUUAACAUCUUUUUUAGCUUAACCUGAAAAACAUCUUAAGCAUCUCUUUUAGCUUAAACUAAAAAGGUCAAAAUAAGGACUGUGAUUUCAUGUGGAAGUUCUCGUUUGGGGAAUUUUUGAAAUUUUGCUCUCCCUUAGAGUGUGUAAAUAAAGGCUUCUAUUUGCUACUGUAACCAGAAUUUUCUAGGAAAAUAUCCUUUUGUGUAGGCUGUUGAACUCAAUAGUAAGUAGAAAAUCAUGCUGUACAGUGUUAAUGUGCAUGGAACAUAAUAUUAUAAAUUAAUACUAACAGCUACUAAUAAUAAAUUAAUGUCUUCAGACCUGUUAACUAAAUUCACUUAAAAUGAUUUAAUGAGCAUGUGUGAACUGGAAAUAAACCUAUGUAUUUUGUAGAACUAUUGAAUCACAAGAAAACUGGAGCAUCAAAGUGCUCUCUGAACCAAAAUCAAUAUAUUAUUUGGUUAGAA